CAUCAGGCCAUCUUCGAACUGGUAGGAUAACGUGUGGUCACUGGCCUCAUCUUUCUACUGGUGGUUGGUCGUGUCUCAUCCGUUCUUUCCUCCAGCUCCAAUUCAUUGACUCAGGUGACUCAUUGAUAAAAUUAUUCAGCCGGGAAAUAUUAUUUGAGAACUAACACGCUACUAAGAGCUAUCGAUACAGUGGUAAGGAAUGCAUACUGUCCUUGUGGAGGUUAUGGCACAGUGCAGGAGACAGAUAACGGUCAGGGAACCACACAAACCAUCAUAACUGUGGCAAUUGCUUGGAAGGAGAGAGAUGUAAUGCCACAGGAAUCUACAAUUUCUGUGUUUGAUUUAGUCAAAGAAGUCAGGAAAGACUUCUGGCAGUGGCCAAAAGACGCAGGGGGGAGACAAGAACAUUCUAGACACAGGGAACAGCUUGUGCAAAGGCCCUGAGGCAAGAGGGAGGAUGGCAGUAUGAGUAAAUAAAAGAAGGCCAGGGGUGGCUGAAUUGCAGAGUUAGGGGCUUGUAGAAGAAGCAGCAGCUGGAGAGGUUGAUAGGAGCUGAAAACCACGUGAGACUUGAAGGCUAGGUUAAGGAGUUUGCAAUGCUUUCAAAGAGCAGUAGGAAGCUAACUAGGAUUGUAAACAGGUGUGUCUUGAUCAGAUCUGUAUUUUGCGGGAAAAAAAAUCACUCUCAUUGUGUUUGGAAUAAGAGGCCAGAGACGGGCCAGGUUGAUGUAUUAGUUUUGUAUUUCUGCUGAAACAAGUUACCACAAUGAAGCAGUUUAACACAAUAUUGGAGUUUUUGUAGGUCAGCAGCCGGGGCACAGCUGGGUUCUCCUUUAGGAUCUCCCGGGGUAGAAAUACAGGCAUCAGCUGGGCUGAGGGCCUCCUCUCAAUUUCGGGGGUUGUUGGCAGAAUUCAUUUCCUCCUCCAGCUGUCCACGCAGCCCCUCCCAUCUUCAGGUCUCCUAAGAAUGCUCUUUCAUGAAGUUUUACACAGAAGACAUUCCAAAAGCACACAAGGACACCUCACUUUAUCGUGUCCAGAGGCAGCAUAUCAUCUCUGGGAAGCCAGAAUCGCCGGUGCAUGCUCCAUCUCCUCUCUCUCUUUGACUUCUGCCUCUCUUUCUGUCACGCUGUGCAGCUUAUCUUCCCACCCCAGCUACACUGCCAGCAACCCCUUCUCCUUCCUGAGGGAGGCACAGUGAAGUGCUCUGUGGACUACAACCUGGGAGGAGCCUCAAACAGCGGAGGAAGUUUCUGUGGCCCAGGAGGCUGGGUCAGGAAAUGGGUGGCUGUAACUGUAGGGAUGGGCACAGUUCACUGACGAGCCUGAGACUCAGUUCAACAAGCUGGCACUGAGCUCCUGCUGUGGGGGUUCUGGGCCACUCGCUUGCAUCUUCCUAACACACGUCUGGGUGUUUGAGAAUGUGAGCUCUGAAUGUGGAUGCAAAUGCAUGGCUAUCUACGUCCAAGAGAAGAAUGAAGUAGAGAAUCAUGCUCUCAAAGGCAAACUGAGACAAACUUCGCAAAUUGCAAUUAAAGAUGAACUGAGAUGUUACCAAGUUGCUACUUAGAAACUAUACAAAAUAUGCAAAUAUAUUUUCUUUAUAGAAUUAAGCUACCCAAGAACCAGACUCAAAAACAUUAAUUGAGCACCUAUUAUAUGCCAAGUCCUCUGCUUGGAAAACGGGUUUAAUUCUUACAGUGGUCCUUUGCAGUAUGUCUAAUUUUCCCCAUUUUACGGGUAACGGGCAAGAGAGCAGCCUGAUGCACUGGUCACGUCCUACAGACCGGCAGAGCAGGGGCGGGAACGCAGGUCUUCUGACCAUGGAUCCUGGGUCAUCUCCUGAGACACCAACCACCUGCUCAGCAUCAUGACAGCACAUUGGGAGGCAGCCUGGGGAGAGUCGAGAGCAGCGAUGGCUACGCCCGAUUGAGUGUGAGUGAGAAUCUCAGCGUUACUCUUUCUAGCUGGGUGAGCUUGGGCCAGUAACUUGACUUUCAUAAGCCUCAGUCUUCUGAUCUCUAAAAUUGGAAUAAUAAAAUAAAACCCACGUUGCAGGGUUGUUUAAGGACUGAAUGAGCUUCUUCCAACAAGCAUCCCUCAUCAUGCCUGGUACACGGCACUCAAUAGAUGGGAGUUACGUAUCUUGUCAAAGGAGAGAAGUUAGCCCUCAGGGUGCUCUUUUUAAGCUUGUUCACAUCCACCAGCUCCUUGUAUUCUCUAGCAAAUGGAGCUAGCUGGUGGAGGGCAGGGCUCCAACCCAACGCUGUCUCCAAGAUGGUGCUCCUCGCUCCCCAGCCCUCUCCACCCAGAGCGAGCAGCCCAAUUAUCCUCAUUAAAGCAGGGGCUUCCCACUGCCCAGCCUCACGUCUGCAGCCAGGAGCAGAAGAGUCAGAGGGACAUGAGUGGCCAUCAGCAGUUAACAUUCAAUGUCUCAGGACAUAUCCACAACCCGAAGUCUCUUGUCACAUUCUCUCCCUGAGGUUUCCAACAACUGAAGAGACUCACAUUGGAAUCAAAAUGCUGCCUUUUUAACAUAAUGACUGCCCCCUU
rnacentral:lncRNA from 1 species